AACGAACGCUGGCGGCAUGCCUAACACAUGCAAGUCGAACGAGACCUUCGGGUCUAGUGGCGCACGGGUGCGUAACGCGUGGGAACCUGCCCUUAGGUUCGGAAUAACUCCCCGAAAGGGGUGCUAAUACCGGAUAAUGUCUUCGGACCAAAGAUUUGUCGCCUUUGGAUGGGCCCGCGUUGGAUUAGCUAGUUGGUAGGGUAAAAGCCUACCAAGGCGACGAUCCAUAGCUGGUCUGAGAGGAUGAUCAGCCACACUGGGACUGAGACACGGCCCAGACUCCUACGGGAAGCAGCAGUGGGGAAUAUUGGACAAUGGGCGAAAGCCUGAUCCAGCAAUGCCGCGUGAGUGAUGAAGGCCUUAGGGUUGUAAAGCUCUUUUACCCGGGAUGAUAAUGACAGUACCGGGAGAAUAAGCUCCGGCUAACUCCGUG
rnacentral:rRNA from 1 species